GAUGAUGGGACUUUCUUGCUUUAAAUCUUCUUUUGAAGGUAGAAAAUGAUAGUUAAAAUUCUUGACACCCUGCUAAAUAAUAGUGUAUCGUCUUGCAUUUUCUUAGAAUAGUUUCAAUAGUCAUUAGCUUAAUUGCUUCCUCAAUUGGCCGGCAUUUUCGUAUUUUCCUGAACUAAUCAACCUAAUUUGACUGGCAUAGGAGUCUAAUUUCUCUUGCUGCAUUCAGCUUUGGCGCUAACUAACUUAGACCCUGAUAAACUGAAGCUAAGGUUUCCAGGUGCCAAAUGAACUUUUACGACCGAUUAAUUAUCAAAUAGUGAAACCUUACUGGGGGAAAAAGAGUCAAAGAGGUAACAUAUCUGGCUCCAAGCACCGAGUGAUGGGUCCAAGUUGAGUCUAAAUUUAGAUCCAAGCCUGUUUGGGUCACACACAAAUCAAGCUUGACCCACGCCACCUACAGCCCCACCUUUGAAUUGGAGAAACAGUAGUCACCACCAUCAAUUCCUUUCAACUGUGUCCUGUAAAGGAGAUGGGUAGUGGACCUAAAGUUCCAUCAUCAAGAAUGAGUGGUGGACCUAAAGUUCCUGAGUGCUGAUAGAAAACCGGUUAGAUCAAAUGUUGUUGUCAUGGAGGUUGACAUCACACUGAUCACAACAAAAAACCUAGGACACAUUUUAUUUCAUCAAUUCUAUUUCUUUUGUUCUCAUGUAUGCCAGCUUGCUUGCAGGUCAAUGUUAAUUUGUUAAAAGUCAUGCAC
rnacentral:lncRNA from 1 species